rnacentral:misc_RNA from 1 species
ACAUGUGUAAGGCGAGGCGGAGUUGCGACCAGUGCAGUGCGGAGGAAGCAAAAGAGUGUGGAGCGUUGACGGGGCUCACUUAAUUAGGACUAUUACAAGGAGUACCAGCAUUCUUAAGAUCAAUAGAAGAAAUUUGCUUUCGAUUCCUGUGCUGAAGACGAGAAAGAUCACCGCAAGACAAGCAAACGAGCUCAUCUUAACGACGUGUCAGAUGCGAGGCAAGCACCGUAUGAAGUUCAAGACAAAAAUGGUCUGUCAGUCAGCGAUGAAAGACCGCAUAACGAGACUCGAUUCAGGAGCACUACCUCUAGCUUAACAUCGGGACAUACCAGAAGCAGCAUGAAACUUGCUCUACCAACAGCCGAAGAUGGUAGCCACCUAAGCUAGCAACAGAAAGGUGAGCGCAUGUGGGCCCAAUCCUAGUUUGGCACACUGGAUUAGUUUAGCACAUUUGCGAAAAUGAGAGCUGGGGUCUCAAACUAGGAUUGUGCACUGUGGUGACAAGCACACUGACACCUGUGCAAUAUGUACUAUCUAUACUAUGUUCGAACUUAUAAUGCGUAUGUACGGCAAGUAGUAUAUUUUUGUGUUAUUUGUACAAAAUAAAAUGUAUGAAAAUACAAUUUGUGUUUCUGUUU